GUGUCAGCCGCCGCGGUAAUACCGGCAGCCCAAGUGAUGGCCGAUCUUAUUGGGCCUAAAGCGUCCGUAGCUGGCCGCGCAAGUCCAUCGGGAAAUCCACCUGCUCAACAGGUGGGCGCCCGGUAGAAACUGCGUGGCUUGGGACCGGAAGGCGCGACGGGUACAUCCGGGGUAGGAGUGAAAUCCCGUAAUCCUGGACGGACCGCCGAUGGCGAAAGCACGUCGCGAGAACGGAUCCGACAGUGAGGGACGAAAGCCAGGGUCUCGAAC
rnacentral:rRNA from 1 species